AACCGACCCAAUCUCCAAGCGAUGAAUCAUUACGACCCUCCGAUUUCUGCAGGCCGUUGCUCUAAUACGGCUGAGGUCCGUCUACUGAGGUCUUGGGAGGGAAGCUCGGAAUAUCAGGAAAGGUGGAGAGCUGAUGAGUAUUGACAUGCUUCUCUCGAUGAACAGUCUAUGCUUGUCCAGGGACCAUCAGUUCCAACCCGCGUUGAUACUUACCGGAAUCGUCUGACUGAGGGAAGGCUCCGUGUACUCGCUGAGUGGUUUUGAAGUAACCCUAAAUUCCGACUCUCUGACUGCUCCCAUCUCUAUCCAUAGUGACGAGCAGCUUCUGGCGUUGGCAAAUACACCAACAAAGAACUACCAGGCUCUGCUCUUCUUUUUUUCAUUAAAAUUAUCCCAAUAGUAUUAUUCAGCUAUUUAACAUCAAAUAUUUUUAUAGAUUUGAUUCAUCCAAAGAGUUUGAAGCGAGUUGUGCUCUUAAAGGCGAUCUCUAUGGUAAGGUUUAGGUUGUGUUGUCGAAUAGAAUUAAUUAUGCUAUGGCAAUCCACGGAAUAUCAAGCCCUAUAUUAUGUUGCGAUUUUAUUUAAUUAUUUAAACAGCGUUACAAAGGUAUGUUUCAGAAUCUUGAAUGGAUCGUUUCUCAAGUUAUGUUGUUGUUGCAGUCAAUGAAUUUCUUUGCUUACGAGAGAAAGCGCUACUGAAGAUGUGAAGGAGUUUGGUAGAUCUUCAAGACUCUGCUUUUAAGUUAUGCUGAUGCAAGUGGGAGCUGUAAUAAAAGCUCAUUUAUAUAGAGGUCGUUGAAGGUCAGGUCUCAUUUGCCUAAUUUGUCUCCUCCAUUUUUUUUCUUCUAGAGAAAAUAUGAUCAUUCUCCAAUAAGAUCUCUAAAGAUGAACUGAAACCAGGAGCUCACAACUAUUCAUGGCGCAAGGCUUAUAUCUAUUCCCAUCACGGGAUCUACAUAGCAGUUGGAAAGGUCAUUCAUUUCACUCGUGGAGGUGGGAUAGAGACGGGACUUUUCUAGACAAGCUCAUCGUUUGCGCUGUGACCAAUCACGGAAGAGACAACCCUUGUCCUAACAACUGUGGAAAGCAAUCCAACACGCAUGGAGUUAUCUCUUCUGGUCUUGAAUGCUUUCUCUCCGGAUGUGAUCUCCUUCUCUUCGAGUACGGCGUCUCCCCGACUCUGUUCAUGGUGAGGAGGCUGUAACGGCUUUAGGAAGCAGAGUUGACCGGUUAGAGAAAGAGAUCAAAGAGCUUGUCCCUGGAAUCCGACACGUUGACAUCGAAGCACACAAUCCCAUAGACCAAUCUCUAUGAUCUGAAACUUUCCUCCAAAGGUCUGAGUUAUCGAUGCAUUCUCUUGGCCUCAAGAAAUGGAACCCACAAGCCUGGCACUUUUGGAGAAAUAGAAAAGAGAACUGUGUCAGGUUUCUGAUUGGGAAAUAUAUGCUUAUGAAUUCUUCUCUGUCGUGUUUUUAAUGUCAGAAACUCUCAUGUGUUUGCUAAGGAGAAAGGUUGUGUGAAUGAUUGAGCUUUGUUUAGUGAAACCAAACCAAAGUGUCUGUAUAUCUACUUAACAACCGUUUACCUGUUCAUUAAAGUAGAUACAAGUUGUUUAAAGAAAA